GACGAGGGGUCCAAGCGUUGUUCGGAAUCAUUGGGCGUAAAGCGGGUGCAGGUGGCUUCGUAAGUCAGGAGUGAAAGCCCCGAGCUUAACUUGGGAAGUGCUUUUGAUACUGCGGAGCUUGAGUGUGGGAGAGGAUCGUGGAAUUCCUGGUGUAGUGGUGAAAUACGUAGAUAUCAGGAGGAACACCGGUGGCGAAGGCGGCGAUCUGGCCCAACACUGACACUCAGACCCGAAAGCGUGGGGAUCAAACAGG
rnacentral:rRNA from 1 species